rnacentral:rRNA from 1 species
AGCGAACGCUGGCGGCAGGCCUAACACAUGCAAGUCGAACGAACUCUUCGGAGUUAGUGGCGGACGGGUGAGUAACACGUGGGAACGUGCCCUUUGGUUUGGAAUAACUCAGGGAAACUUGUGCUAAUACCGAAUGUGCCCUUCGGGGGAAGGAUUUAUCGCCAUUAGAGCGGCCCGCGUCUGAUUAGCUAGUUGGUGAGGUAACGGCUCACUAAGGCGACGAUCAGUAGCUGGUCUGAGAGAAUGACCAGCCACACUGAGACUGAGACACGGCCCAGACUCCUACGCGAGGCAGCAGUGGGGAAUCGUGCGCAAUGGGCGAAAGCCUGACGCAGCCAUGCCGCGUGAAUGAUGAAGGUCUUAGGAUUGUAAAAUUCUUUCACCUGGGACGAUAAUGACGGUACCCGGAGAAGAAGCCCCGGCUAACUUCGUG